rnacentral:lncRNA from 1 species
AGGAGAUUGGGAAUGAGACACACACAAAAGAAUCUUCAAGAGUUUGGAGGGAGGAUAAGAGCAGAAACAGUACUAGCUGUAUGGUCCAUGACAAUAUGUGAACACUCCAAUUUAUUGUUCUUAUUCAGUAAAGCUCAUCGUGAUCAUGUUAAUGCUAAUCAUGUACUGGAAAUUCCGGUAAAAAAGGAAUGUAGGGUAAGUUCAAUCAUUCUUCUGUUUCUAUACUCAACUUGAAGAGCCAACAUAUUCUACCAUGUCAAAUAAUGAUAAUUGUGCUGGUUUAAACAAAUAUCAUAUCUGGCCGUGACAGGUUGCUAUUCUUAUCUGAAUUUGACCCUUCAACCUUUCUACCUUAUAAUUAACACGUUUAUGUCAUAAUUGCCUCCAAUAAGCAGCCACAAGAGCCAUCCCCAAUUGAGCAUAUAAAAAGAAGAAUUGAACUUCCACUGUGCAAUCAAAGUCAUGGUCUCAAAAUGACAAAUUAGCUGAUCUAAAACAAACUCUAGUAGUGACCGGUUGUUAAUUUAUUAUAUCCUGAUGUGAAUUUGACCUAAUCUUUCAUGCAACCUUCCUAUUAGCAGCCCCUGAGAUUGAUAAGC